AGAGAAUUGUUUUACGUAUCAUAAACACACCAAAGCAGAGCAAAGAAUAAUAAGUCUAAUAUGCCUCAAAAUAUUUAAAGCAAAAAUUUUUUAUUCAGUUCUUUGGCAUAAAUUACAAAUGACAAUGCGCACUGCCCUCCUCUGGAGUGUUGCGCGUGUCUGAACGGGUGAACCGGCAUCCGGUGUGAUGGCGGAGGGAGGACCCGGAUGACUGCGGGCUUCUUUUGGCUUUUUCAUGCAGGAGACACACCAAACAUGGGACACUUCCAAAAUAGAACAGUACAGAAUUGUCUUCUUGGCUGGUCAGUGGAGAGAAGUCCAGACAGACCUGUCAAACUCUCCUUAAGUAUAAAUCUGGAAUUAUAUGUCAUUAUCAGAAGUUUCUGUUGUCCUUUUCCUCAAAGUGAACACACAUCUGAAAAUAGCUCUCAUGUAUUUCUGCUGGAAGAAGGAAGAAACUAUUAAGAGCAGCACUUGAGGCCUCUGUGCGAGUCCAAUCACCCCAGAAACACAUUAAAGCAAGCUCCAGGUCUGCGUCCCCCCACGUUAUCGUUCUUACCCGAAAGGACGUGGCUCCUGUUUAGCAGGAAACAUAUGUUCUUAUCUGAUUGCACUGACAAACUGAGGAGAAAUGAAUAAAGACAUUUAAAGAGGCCAC
rnacentral:lncRNA from 1 species